rnacentral:rRNA from 1 species
UUGGUAACCAUGGCGGACGGGUGAGUAACGCGUAAAGAACUUACCUUUCAGACUGGGAUAACAGAGGGAAACUUCUGAUAAGACCGGAUAUAAUUAAUUGAUUGCAUGAGAGAUUAAUGAAAAGAGAUGCUGAAAGAGAGCUUUGCGUCCUAUUAGCUAGUUGGUAAGGUAAUGGCUUACCAAGGCGAUGAUAGGUAGCCGGCCUGAGAGGGUGGACGGCCACAAGGGGACUGAGAUACGGCCCUUACUCU